GAUUUUAAACAAUCUACUGAAUAACCAAGUGUAGAUAGGGUGACACCUUGCUUGGAUUGUAUACAUAAUUCCCGUUACGCUCUCCGUGAGAUAUUGCGGAGGGAUAAGUAAUUCUCUUUUGAGUAAUUGAAAGAGAUCAUGAAGUGUAAGAAGAUUGAGGGUGUAUGCAGUAUAGAGGUUGUGCGUAAUUAGACCAUUAUCAGACGGUGGCGGUGACAAUAGACGCUUUCGGUGAAAGAAUAAUCUGGGUAGGCCUUGCGUAGCAGUAAGAACCGAACCAGAAAUGCUAAAAUAAACCGUUUUGCACUUGAGGUCGAGGGAUCGGCCAAUAACACCAAAGAUAAGUACAAGUAGCCCAAAAAUGUGCAGACACUACAUUAGAAUGUAUUAAUGCUUAAAAUAUAUUUCUGAAUGUCGGGUGAAAGUUGGACGUAACCAGUCGUGCCUAGUCAUUUAAUCGCUACGGAAGUUAUAGGGUCGCUCCUUAUGGCUCAGACCGUGGUAGGCUAUCGGUCAACAAAUUGCGUACAAUCGAAGUAGAGCGAAGGCUCAUUUAGUUGAUUGUUUAAAG
rnacentral:sRNA from 12 species